CGCGUAGGUGGUUCGUUAAGUUGGAUGUGAAAUCCCCGGGCUCAACCUGGGAACUGCAUUCAAAACUGUCGAGCUAGAGUAUGGUAGAGGGUGGUGGAAUUUCCUGUGUAGCGGUGAAAUGCGUAGAUAUAGGAAGGAACACCAGUGGCGAAGGCGACCACCUGGACUGAUACUGACACUGAGGUGCGAAAGCGUGGGGAAGCAAACA
rnacentral:rRNA from 1 species